CGGGGAGGUGGCACCAUGAAGCGCUGCUGGCUGAUCUGAGCUGCUGUUGUGGUGUGGUGUUGUGUUGUUGUGUUGUUGUGUUGUGGUAUUGUGUUGUGUUGUUGUGUUGUUGUGUUGUGUUGUAGUGUUGUGCUGUUGUGAUGUUGUAGUGUUGUGUUGUUGUGUUGUAGUAUUGUAGUGUUGUGCUGUUGUGUUGUAGUGUUGUGCUGUUGUGUUGUGGUAUUGUGAUGUUGUGUUGUGUUGUUGUGUUGUUGUGUUGUGAUGUUGUUGUGGUAUUGUGUUGUGUUGUGGUGUUGUGCUGUUGUGUUGUAGUGUUGUGGUAUUGUGAUGUUGUUGUGUUGUGCUGUUGUGUUGUGUUGUUGUGUUGUGCUGUUAUUUGUUGUGAUGUUGUGUUGUUGCUAAGUUGUGUUGUUGCUAAGUUGUGUUGUUGUGUUGUGUUGUGCUGUUAUGUGUUGUUGUUGCUAAGUUGUGUUGUUGUGUUGUGUUGUUGCUCAGUUGUGUUGUGUUGUGUGGUUGUGUUGUUGUGUUGUGUUGUGUGGUUGUGUUGUUGUGUUGUGUUGUGUGGUUGUGUUGUUGUGUUGUGUUGCUGUAUUGUGUUGUUGCUAAGUUGUGUUGUGUUGCUGUGUUGUGUUCUGUUAUGUGUUGUGUUGUUGCUCAGUUGUGUUGUUGUGUUGUGUUGUUGUGUUGUUGCUCUGUUGUGUUAUUGUGUUGUGUUGUUGUGUUGUGUUGUUGUGUUGUGUUGUUGUGUUGUGUGGUUGUGUUGUGGUGUUCUGACAUUGCAGCGUUGUGAUGUUCUGUUGUGGUGUUGUUGUGUUGGUGUUGUGUUGUGUGUUAUGUUGUGUUAUGUUGUGUGUUGUGUUAUGUUGUGUUGUGUUGUGUGUUAUGUUGUUAUGUUGUGGUAUUGUGUUGUUGUGUUGUUGUGUUGUGUCAUUGUGUUGUGUUGUUGUAUUGUAUUAUUAUGCUGUUGUGUUGUUGUGUUGUUGUGUUGUGUUGUGCUGUUGUGUUGUAUUGUUGUGUUGUUGCAUUGUGUUAUUGUAUUGAUUUAUUGUUGUGUUGUUGUGUUGUUGUUCCAUCCCAUUAUAACCAUGUUGAUGCCCAUUGAGUUCUGUGUCACGGUGCUGCCGUCGCAUCCCCAACCCCCAGAAGACCCCAUUUACCACGGAGACCCCAUUAACAGGCCCAUACCCCACUUAAGACCACAUAACCCAUGUUUAACCCAUAACCCAUGGCUGACCCAUAACCCCCAUGGAGACACCUAACCCCAUUGGUGACCCUUACCCCAUAAAAGACCCCAUAACCCCAUUGGGACCAU
rnacentral:lncRNA from 1 species